AGCGAACGCUGGCGGCAGGCCUAACACAUGCAAGUCGAGCGCCCCGCAAGGGGAGCGGCAGACGGGAGAGUAACACGUGGGAACGUACCCUUCAGUUCGGAACAACCCAGGGAAACUUGGGCUAAUACCGAAUACGUCCGUAAGGAGAAAGAUUUAUCGCUGAAGGAUCGGCCCGCGUCUGAUUAGCUUGUUGGUGAGGUAACGGCUCACCAAGGCUACGAUCAGUAGCUGGUCNGAGAGGAUGAUCAGCCUCACUGGGACUGAGACACGGCCCAGACUCCUACGGGAGGCAGCAGUGGGGAAUAUUGCGCAAUGGGCGAAAGCCUGACGCAGCGACGCCGCGUGUGGGAUGACGGUCUUCGGAUUGUAAACCAACUGUCGGGAGGGACGAAUACGCCGCAAGGCGGGUGACGGUACCUCCAAAGGAAGCACCGGCUAACUCCGUGCCAGCCGCCGCAGUAAU
rnacentral:rRNA from 1 species